AUUGAACGCUGGCGGCAGGCCUAACACAUGCAAGUCGAACGAGUGGAGGCCGGGUGAGUAAUGUCUGGGAAUCUGCCCGACGGAGGGGGAUCACUACUGGAAACGGUAGCUAAUACCGCAUACCAUCGGAUGUGCCCAGAUGGGAUUAGCUAGUAGGUGGGGUAACGGCUCACCUAUGCGACGAUCCCUAGCCGGUCUGAGAGGAUGACGAGCAACGCUGGAACUGAGAUACGGUCCAGGCUCCUACGGGAGGCAGCGGUGGGGAAUAUUGCACAAUGGGCGCAAGCCUGAUGCAGCCAUGCCGCGUGUAUGAAGAAGGCCUUCGGGUUGUAAAGUACUUUCAGCGAGGAGGCGUUACUCGCAGAAGAAGCACCGGCUAACUCCUUGCCAGCAGCCGCGGUAAUAC
rnacentral:rRNA from 1 species